AGAAACUUAGGUUAAACACCAAACCAAGAGCCUUCAAAGCCCUAAACAGGGGGAGACCCCUAGUUUMUG
rnacentral:tRNA from 1 species